rnacentral:rRNA from 1 species
GAUGAACGCUAGCUGGAGGCUUAAUACAUGCAAGUCGAGCGGGAUUGGUAGCAAUACCAUGAGAGCGGCGCACGGGUGAGUAACGCGUACACGACCUACCUCUGACAGGGGGAUAGCCCUGGGAAACUGGGAUUAAUACCGCAUAUUAUUCUGAUUAAUAAAGGAUUGGAAUGAAAGCUGAGGCGGUCAGAGAUGGGUGUGCGUCUGAUUAGCUAGUUGGUAGGGUAACGGCCUACCAAGGCGAUGAUCAGUAGGGGGCGUGAGAGCGUGGUCCCCACACGGGUACUGAGACACGGACCCGACUCCUACGGGAGGCAGCAGUAAGGAAUAUUGGUCAAUGGGCGAAAGCCUGAACCAGCCAUCCAGCGUGCAGGAAGAAGGCCCUAUGGGUUGUAAACUGCUUUUAUCAGGGAAGAAACCUCUGGAUUUACUCCGGAGCUGACGGUACCUGAAGAAUAAGCACCGGCUAACUCCGUGCCAGCAGCCGCCGGUAAUGUG